CAGUAGCCACGGUAACACGUAGGGUGCAAGCGUUAAUCGGAAUUACUGGGCGUAAAGCGUGCGCAGGCGGUUCCGCAAGUCAGAUGUGAAAUCUCCGGGCUCAACCUGGGAACUGCAUUUGAAACUACGGAGCUAGAGUGUGUCAGAGGGGGGUGGAAUUCCACGUGUAGCAGUGAAAUGCGUAGAGAUGUGGAGGAACACCAAUGGCGAAGGCAGCCCCCUGGGAUGACACUGACGCUCAUGCACGAAAGCGUGGGGAGCAAACAGGAUUAGAUACCCCGGUAGUCCCUGUCUCUUAUAC
rnacentral:rRNA from 1 species